AUACGGAGGGUGCAAGCGUUAUUCGGAAUCACUGGGCGUAAAGGGUGCGUAGGCGGUUUGAUAAGUCUGAUGUGAAAUCCUAUGGCUCAACCAUAGAACUGCAUUGGAAACUGUCAGACUAGAAUACUGAAGGGGCAGAUGGAAUUAGUGGUGUAGGGGUAAAAUCCGUAGAUAUCACUAGGAAUACCGAAAGCGAAAGCGAUCUGCUGGGAAGUUAUUGACGCUGAGGCACGAAAGCGUGGGGAGCAAACGAGAUUAGAAACCCUAGUAGUCC
rnacentral:rRNA from 1 species